UCAGUUGUGAAAGUUUGCGGCUCAACCGUAAAAUUGCAGUUGAUACUGUCAGUCUUGAGUACAGUAGAGGUGGGCGGAAUUCGUGGUGUAGCGGUGAAAUGCUUAGAUAUCACGAAGAACUCCGAUUGCGAAGGCAGCUCACUGGACUGCAACUGACACUGAUGCUCGAAAGUGUGGGUAUCAAACAGGAUUAGAUACCCUGGUAGUCCACACAGUAAACGAUGAAUACUCGCUGUUUGCGAUAUACAGUAAGCGGCCAAGCGAAAGCAUUAAGUAUUCCACCUGGGGAGUACGCCGGCAACGGUGAAACUCAAAGGAAUUGACGGGGGCCCGCACAAGCGGAGGAACAUGUGGUUUAAUUCGAUGAUACGCGAGGAACCUUACCCGGGCUUAAAUUGCAGAUGAAUUACGGUGAAAGCCGUAAGCCGCAAGGCAUCUGUGAAGGUGCUGCAUGGUUGUCGUCAGCUCGUGCCGUGAGGUGUCGGCUUAAG
rnacentral:rRNA from 1 species